rnacentral:rRNA from 1 species
UUUCGGGUCUCGUAAUUGGAAUGAGUACAAUCUAAAUCCCUUAACGAGGAACAAUUGGAGGGCAAGUCUGGUGCCAGCAGCCGCGGUAAUUCCAGCUCCAAUAGCGUAUAUUAAAGUUGUUGCCGUUAAGAAGCUCGUAGUUGAACCUUGGACCUGGCUGAUCUGUCCUCCUAAUCGAGCGCACGGAUUCGGUCGGGUCUUUCCUUCUGGGGAGCCCUAUGCCCUUCACUGGGUGUAGUGGGGAACCAGGACUUUUACCUUGAAAAAAUUAGAGUGUUCAAAGCAGGCCUUUGCUCGAAUACAUUAGCAUGGAAUAAUAGAAUAGGACAUCGGUUCUAUUUUGUUGGUUUCUAGGACCGCUGUAAUGAUUAAUAGGGAUAGUCGGGGGCGUCAGUAUUCAAUUGUCAGAGGUGAAAUUCUUGGAUUUAUUGAAGACUAACUACUGCGAAAGCAUUCGCCAAGGAUGUUUUCAUUAAUCAGUGAACGAAAGUUAGGGGAUCGAAGACGAUCAGAUACCGUCGUAGUCUUAACCAUAAACUAUGCCGACUAGGGAUCGGACGGUGGUUUUUUUAUGCCCCGUUCGGCACCUUACGAGAAAUCAAAGUUUUUGGGCUCGGGGGGGAGUAUGGUCGCAAGGCUGAAACUUAAAGAAAUUGACGAAAGGGCACCACCAGGCGUGGAGCCUGCGGCUUAAUUUGACCCAACACGGGGAAACUCACCAGGUCCAGACAUGCUUAGGAUUGACAGAUUGAUAGCUCUUUCUUGAUUGUAUGGGUGGUGGUGCAUGGCCGUUCUUAGUUGGUGGAGUGAUUUGUCUGCUUAAUUGCGAUAACGAACGAGACCUUGACCUGCUAAAUAGCCAGGUUGACUUUUGUCGGCCGCCGGCUUCUUAGAGGGACUUUUGGCUCAAGCCAAUGGAAGUACGAGGCAAUAACAGGUCUGUGAUGCCCUUAGAUGUUCUGUGCCGCACGCGCGCUACACUGACAGAGCCAGCGAGUACAUCACCUUGGCCGAAAGGUCUGGGUAAUCUUGUCAAACUCUAUCGUGCUGGGGAUAGAGCAUUGCAAUUAUUGCUCUUCAACGAGGAAUGCCUAGUAAGCGCAAGUCAUCAGCUUGCGUUGAUUACGUCCCUGCCCUUUGUACACACCGCCCGUCGCUACUACCGAUUGAAUGGCUCAGUGAGGCCUUGGGACUGGCUCAGAGAGGUCGGCAACGACCACUCAGAGCCGGAAACUUGUUCAAACUUGGUCAUUUAGAGGAAGUAAAAGUCGUAACAAGGUUUCCGUAGGUGAACCUGCGGAAG